rnacentral:rRNA from 1 species
GAUGAACGCUGGCGGUCUGCUUAACACAUGCAAGUCGCACGGAAGUAGCAAUACUUUAGUGGCGGACGGGUGAGUAACACGUAAGAAUCUGCCUCCAGGACGGGAAAAACAGUUGGAAACGACUGCUAAUUCCGGAUGAGCCGAAAGGUAAAAAGAAAUUCGCCUGGAGAUGAGCUUGCGGCUGAUUAGCUAGUUGGUAGGGUAAGAGCCUACCAAGGCGACGAUCAGUAGCUGGUCUGAGAGGAUGAGCAGCCACACUGGGACUGAGACACGGCCCAGACUCCUACGGGAGGCAGCAGGGGGUAAUUUUCCGCAAUGUGCGAAAGCCUUACGGAGCAAGACCGCGUGGGGGAGGAAGGUUCUUGGAUUGUCAACCCCUUUUCUCAAGGAAGAAGAUCUGACGGUACUUGAGGAAUCAGCAUCGGCUAACUCCGUGCCAGCCGCCGCCGUAAGAC